rnacentral:rRNA from 1 species
UACGGAGGGUGCAAGCGUUUGCCGGAAUCACUGGGCGUAAAGGGCGCGUAGGCGGCUCAUGAAGGCUGUGGUGAAAGUCCGGGGCUCAACCUCGGAUCGGCCGUGGCGGACUCGUGGGCUGGAGCACUGUAGAGGCGGGUGGAAUUCCCGGGUGUAGCGGUGGAAUGCGUAGAGAUCCGGAAGAACACCAGUGGCGAAGGCGGCCCGGCUGGGCAGUGGCUGAC